AGUCACGCGAGGCUGGCUUGCUGGAACCGGCUAGAAAAUGCAGCCCUGCCUGCCGCAGGGAUCUCCUCCGGUAUGGCCACACAUAUGAGUUCUGGCAAUGCCCAUUAGUGAUAUGGCCGAUAGUUUCUUCUGUCUUGCUUCCAGGAACCUUUUCUUGGUUUGAAGCCACCGAACCAGAAGAGAGAAUUUUUACCACUUUGAGGACUUCUUGUGACGAAUCCAAUGGGAAUUCCAUAAUAUUCAGAAACAAAACAUUUUGAGGGCCAACAAAUUAUUAAGCCCUUUGCUAGGUCUUAGAGAUACAAAGAUAAAGAAGACUGGAGUUUUCUUUUUAUUAUCUACCAGACUGAAGGCCACUGCCUGGGGACUUGAUCUAAGAGAAGAAAUAUCAGGAGACCUGGGUUUGGCUCCUGGCUCUGCCAGGUGAUCAUGGAGCAGUCACGUAUUAUCCCUGAGCUUCCGUUUCCUCAUCUACUUAAUUAGUGAUGGGUCUACAGGGCCUUGCUGGGGUCCACUUCUGACAUUCUGUGUUGUUGUCCGGAAAAGGAAGAGGAUGACACUGAUGACCAGCCGUCUUGGGUGGUUCACAGGCUCACUAAGGAGGCAGUGUUGAGCCUGACGGAUCUGUGAAGGCCCCUCCGACUUGUAACUGUAAAAUGAUGACUCUUGAUGGAACUCUACAGUUGUUGACACCUGGUGGGCCACCUACAGCUGAAGGUUCAAAGUGAUAAAACAAACCUGGUACGGAAAUAACUGAUUGUGGAACGCGAAGGACCUGUGAUCAUGCAAAGGUGACAGAGCAGGUAAAAUGUUUUGGACAAGAGGGAGAGAGUUUGCAGGUAAAGAACCUAUAAGGGGCAGAAAGAGGAAUGCAGGACACUUCGGGAUGUGGGUCACAUUUUGUCCUGGAAUCAGUACUUACCAGCUUAGUCUGAGGCCUUGGGACAGAAGUGCUGCUCAUAAAAGUAAAUUGUGUUUCUGCAAUGAAAUCUCUGAAACUUCAGGAGAAGAGCACUUGGUCAGCUUGCUUGGGGUUACUAGUUCAGUGGUGACAUACAAGUGUGUGUGUGUGUGUGUGUGUGUGUGCACGUGCAUGCGCAUAUUUGUGUGUUUAGACGGUGUGUGCUCACUGCUUCAGAGAGCAGUUUCAGGGCCAUCUGUUUUGAGCUCAGUGUGACUCCAGAUAACCAAGAGUAGGAAACAACUCUGGGGUGAUGAUGGCAGCAACAGUGACCUCAAAGUAAAGUGGUGAGUAUUUUUUUACUAUCUUCCCUGAUUGUGUGGGACCCUCAAAUAUUUCCCCAAUUAUUUCUGGGAAUCCUAAAGAGCUACCUCUUAAGUCCUCUAAGCAAAUUAUCUCAGCAGCCUGAGAAAAGGGACUUGCCAUUUUCCCUCUUCUCUGCCUCUGAAUCCAUUUGGUAAUUAUGGCCAAGAAGUCACAUGUAGACUGCAUUGCAGUGGGGUGUGGCUGAGAGGACUUGCUUUAGGGUGGAGCGAAGUAACAUGCUAUUAAUCUGUUCAUGUAACCAAGCAAUCUGUCUUUUAUUCUACAUAUUGUCACAUAGUCCAUAGAGCAUUCAAGGCCUGGAAAGAAAAGAACACUAACAACAAAACCAAAACAAGUAGACAAACAAAACAACUUCAAAAUACAGCUCCUGUUCUGUAGGAGCACAUAGUCCAUUGGAGGUCCACUUACACACACACACACACACACACACACACACAAGGGUGGUGUAAACAGUGGUGCUGGAGUCUCCUGAGAUUGUGCCCGGCAGCACGGCAUCAGGAAAGACCCCAUGGGAGCAGAAAUUUUGAGAUUGGAGCCCUAUUUUGAAGGAAGAGUAACAUUUGGACAGGUUCAGGUGAAAGGAGGGAGAACUUCCUAGGUAGAGAAGUGGCAUGUGGCAGGAACUUGCAUGGCGAGAAGCUGAAGCCAGCUGUUUGGUUGGUAGGAAGAUCAGUUUUCCAGGAGCAGGCAGUCAGUGUAGACAAUCCACACUGGCGAGGUAGCCUGGAGUUAGGCUGUGGAGGACUUUAAGGACAGUCUCAUUGGAUCUGGGGCCCACCCUAAUGCAGGAUUAUCUUAUUCCAAUCCUUACCUUAAUCAUGUCUGCAAAGAUGGCAUUUCCAAAUCAGGUCACAUUCUGAGGCUUUGGUGGAGGUGAAUUUUUGGGAGAUGUUAUUUAAUUCACUACAGAUGAGUUAAGAUUGGGGCUGAUUAUAAACUGCUAUAAUUGGGGUAACAAGGAAAGGCUUUUUGGAGGGAAUCAUAUUUGAGUUGAGACUUGACCAAGGACAAGGAAGAAGCCAUGUGAAUGUAAAUAAGCAGAAGGAACACCAACAGUCAAGACCUUAAGAUGACAAUAAGUUUAGUGUUUAGAAAGAAUGACAGCUUUUUUUGUCCUCUGUGAUGUGAAUUUUCUCCCUUGAAAUGGUGCUAAAGCAUUUAAGCCUAAAGAGACAAAAUAGGAGACAAUCUUGGAAUUGAAUCCACUCAAUCUGCCUGCUGCUCUUGCUAAGGUCAAGGCUGUGCUGUGGAUGAACAUGACCUCGACUGAAAGUAUUUGAAUGCUAUUGGUGCCCCAUGAAAUGAACUAAAUUAUUUCACGAUUCUCUUCCUCUGCUAAACUUUGUUCUCAGAAAUUAGAAGCCCAGAAAAGUAGCUCACACUCAGUAUUCAAACUCUCAUUGCAAUGGAAGCAGCAUUGCAGAAUUUAUUUAGUGCAGAGAGUUGGGAAAUUUGGGUUUUAAAUCCCAACUUUAACAGUGGCCAACCAUGCCUUUUAGGUAAGUCUCUUUACCUCUCUAGGCCUCAGUUUUCCUCAUCUGUAAGGCAAUGUUGGACCAGGUCAUGUGAGGGCUGAGGCAGAGUGGGACCCUUCCAACUCUGGCUUCCUAGCUUCACAGAAUGCCCCAGGAAUUGUCUGGCCUUCGCAGGAUCUUCCCAGAGUUCAUGGACACAUUUGGCUCUUGGGUAGCCAAGGCUCUGAGUGUAGAAUAGUAAAACCAAUAUGCAUGAGGGUACUUGUGAAUACACUCCCACCUAAACUUGACCUCUAAUGUGAGGCCCAGUUUCUGAGUGUGGAUUUACAAAGGCUUUCCUCUGUACACUUCUCCUUGCACCUGGAGAAUCUGCUUGUGGACUUUCAGAUCUACCAACUACCUUCCACAGAGCUCUCUGAGACAGGGAAGGAAAACCAGGCUUUACAGCUAGACCAGGACUUUGUUAAUAAGACGAUUGUUCACAGCUAUAUGUUUACCACAACCUCUUUUAGCUUUGCCUGUAAUUACCUUGGCCCUAUGCACUGAAGAAUCUGUCUGCACUGCAGCGGGACUCUUAAGUUCCCAUUGAUUCUGAGUAAGUCCCAAAUAUAUUUUUAUUCUGUCCUCUGGUAUUCUGCUGAGCAGAGGGCAGAGUGUCUCUUUCCUGCUCUGUGCAGGAGGUGAUGAGCUCCUUGAGUGGUUCUGCUACUAGCUCACUGGUGACCUGGUGACCAUCUCAUUCUAGUCGGCCCAGGACAAUCCCAGCUUGAAAAUGGAAAAUUCUGGAUCCUGGAAAACCCCUCAGUCUUGAGCAAACUGGGAGAUUGGCACUCUACAGCAGUGCAUCAGGGUUGCUCGGAGUCCAGUAACAAAUUUGGAGACUAAGACGGUGGCUCACGCCUAUACUCCCAGCACUUUGGAAGGCCAAGGUGGGCAGAUCACCUAAGGUCGGGAGUUCAAGACCAGCCUGUCCAACAUGGAGAAACCCCAUCUCUACUAAAAACACAAAAUUAGCUGGGUGUGGUGGCACAUGCCUGUAAUCCCAGCUACUCGGGAGGUUGCGGUGAGUGGAGAUCGCGCCAUUGCACUCUAGCCUGGGCAACAAGAGCGAAACUCUGUCUCAAAAAAAAGAAAAAAAAUAAACUGGAGACAAAGCAUUAAUCCUAACAGAAGGCAAUGCAGAUCCACAGGCAGUGCCACGGAGCCAGCUGUGAGCCCUGCUACUGCUCCCUUCUCCCAAGGCAUCCCCCUGCAAGGCUGCACAACGCUAUGCUGAGCACGGGGAGUCUCUGGACGCCUCUGCCUAGCUGCUUGACUGGAAAUCUACCCACAUUUAGAUUUUCUAGUAAUACUCACUCUAUUUUUCUUAAGAGACCCUGGCUGACUAAAACAAUAUAUAGCAACAUAAUACAUUCUGUAAGGAAAAUCAGUAGGAAUUCCUCACUCUGAAAAACAUCUUUACUGGCUCUGUCACAAAAUAGGCCCUAAGUGGCGGUAGUGAAAGGACCAGCAUUUCUCUUCACUGCUGAUGCACAGGUGAGAAGCUUGAAUUGUGAUUUCUGAUGCUAUUCUUUUCUCAAAGCAAUCAAAUUUUCUUGGAAGUUAGUUAAUUGCAGUCUUAGGGAAAAAAAAAGCGAGGAUGGCUUGGAACAUCUUUUUGUUGUGGACUGAAAAAAAGGAGUGUUCGAGAAUAUCAGAGGCAGUACUUAAAGGAGUUUUUGCUAGCCCCACUGUGAAAAUGUGAACAUCAAAUAAAAGGCAAUCACGGCUUCAUUAAUGCAAGUUGUUUUUGUGAAAGGCUAUGAGUUUGGUAUAAUACUCUAAUGAGAUAAGUGUAUAAAAACAUAGCUAUCAUACAAAAAGAGGUGAAUAUAACAGACAAGCAAAUUAGUAUACGUAGAUAUUCUGGCUUUUAAAAAAUAUUAAGUAUAUGUCUGUUUUAAAAUAUUGAUUUGUAUUUGUUUCGUUCUGCACAAGCAGGAGAGAAUAAACUGAGGGACCUGAGAGUCAGCCAUGACGCCCCUGGAGAAGUCUGUUUCAGGAGCAGGAGGGAUUCCUCGGCAUUGUGCCAUUUAAUAAUUAGAAAGGAAUGGGGCUCAAGAGAUCAGGAGUAGCAGGAGAGCUCCACAGUUGUACCCCGCCCUGAUGAAUUAUUCAGUAUUCUAAGGAGGGAGGUCAUCUUUCAUUUCUUAAGAGAUGAAAUCUCAACAUGGCUCCACUAAUGAGAAGCAACUACUACUAAAGAAAGUGUUCUUUUUUUUUUUUUUUUUUUUUUUUUCCCGAGACAGAGUCUUACUCUGUCACCCAGGCUGGAGUGCAGUGGCGCCAUCUUGACUCACUGAAACCUCCACCUCCCGGGUUCAAGUGAUUCUCCUGCCUCAGCCUCCCGAGUAGCUGGGAUUACAGGCACCUGCCAUCAUGCCCAGUUAAUUUUUGUAUUUUUGGUAGAGAUGGGGUUUCACCACGUUGGUCAGGCUGGUCUCAAUCUCCUGACCUCAGGUAAUCUGCCCGCCUUGGCCUCCCAAAGUGUAGGGAUUACAGGCGUGAGCCACCAUGCCUGGCCACAUUCAUUUUUAAGAAGGCUAACAGAUCAGGCCAAUAUAUCAAAAUUAAAGAAUAAUGCAUGAAUGCAUCAGGACAUGCAAAUUUAAUGAACACUUUAUUUCUGGGAAAGAAAAGUCAUGCAAAAAUGAAAUAGCUAUGAAAGUCAGGGACAUCAGAAUGCCACGUGGUGAAAAGAGGACUAUAUUAGGUAUCUAUUGCAGUGCAACAGAUUAUCCCCAAAACUUAGUGGAAAAGGGAGAAAGAGAAGGACAAGAAAAAGAAAAUCAAAUAGCUGCUCUGGUGGCCUAGGAAUGUUGCCUAAUAUCAAAACAAGGAACAAGGGAGGCCAAACCCUCAGGAUAUUUCAGGGCAAGAGAUGAUUGUGGCGGCCAGGCAUGGUGCUUUUUAAAGCUCCCAGGUGAUUGUGUCAGGCGUCAGGGUUGGGAAGCUUUAUUCCAGAGUGUGACUUGCCAAUCUACAUUUACUUUAGUCACAGUCAACAUGGUUAGUAGAGGUGUUGGGGGUGUAUAAUGAACACUCACCGAGCAUCAGUGAUGAAUCAGGUUCUGUGCUAGGGCUCUUUUGUAUAUUUCCUCAUUGAUUCCUCACCAUAGCCCCGGGCGAGCACACAGCACAACUGUAUUAUCACCAUUUAUAGAGGCAGGAACAGAGGCUAGAAAAGUUUAGUAAACUGAGACUUUCUCCUCCUCAUGAAGGAAAAUGGUGAGCAGUGGGCUGCAGAAAACAGUGUUUGGACUUAGAAAGCAGUGCCCCAAAGGAAGCACAAGUUUUGCCCUGACCUUAUCCUGCCCUCCUGUCUCAGUCCCAGUCUCCACCUAGGCUAGCCAUGGAAACUAGAAUCUUCGAGGUGAGUCAUAGAAACCAGGACCCCCUUUCUCCAAAGCCAGCCAUAAAACCUAAAAAUAUUACUCUGACAUUCCCCUGCCUUUCUGCGUAAAAACUGGCCACAAAGAAAUUAUCUGGCCUACUUUGUUUGACUGUAGGUCAUAAGACCCCCAUUCCAGUGAGGGUCCUGCCCAUAACCAGAAGGAAGGAAUGCUGAACAGAGGCCAAGAGGAACCUAGGCAGACAGGCCUUGCUGGAUCCCCACUCAGUCUAUUAGCGUUAGAUUAUAGCCUUUUUGUCGAAUCAUAUUUCUACAUGGCUGUCCAUACUUAAUUGAACCUAAGCUAUCAUACUUUGUUGAACAUGGACAAUUUCUUUGCAUCUUUGGGUCUUCAUUCUGAAGGCUCUCGUGUACACAUUAACAAUAAAUUGCAUGCCUUUUCUCCUAUUAAUCUACCUCUUGUCUGUGAUUUUCAGUAAACCUUCAGAGGACAAAGGGGAAAUUUUCACUUGGACCUCACAAGGACGAGGUUCAACCAGGGGGAGCAAUGAUGGGUGCUGGAAGGGGAAGUGAUGGGGGUGGGAGGGUAGAGGAGGGAAGAUCUCUAGGCUUAAAUCCAAGGCUGGGAUGUAAAUGUGGAGCUCUUUCUCCUUCUUUGCCCUUGGAACGUGGUGCUGUGGCUCUGAUAAGCUCCUACUGGGUGUUGAGUAACUUUGUGUGACAAGAGUAGAGAAACUGAGAAGAAGAGGCCCAGGAAGAAGGGUCAGGAAAUGCAGAUUUCAGGUCACUGAAGAGGCCAGGCCAGUGAGGACAGGGAUGAUCCUAUGGAACACGUCAAUGCUGCUCCAGGAGCAAAAAGAUCAUCUCAGGAUGGGGAGAAACUGGGUGCCUGGAGGCUUCAGGUUGCUGUUGUCAGCAGUUAUUGGAAAAUGUUUUAAAGCAAAUAUGCACAUGCCCACUCACCCAUGCACACACAUCUGCUUCUAGAAACAAACUGAAUUUCUUUGCUACAACAAAGUGGUCUCAUUACUUUAUUUACGUGGAAAAUGACAUAGAGAAUUCCCUCCCCAUAAGAGCUGCAAGUUCACCUUGAAAUGCAAAGUGAUUGAUUGUGCUACACCCACUUAGUUUCUCCUUUUCUGAACGUUUGACAUCAUUCAGUCUUUGCUGAUAGGGAAUCCUGCAGCUGUGUAUCUCCUCAUGUGGCCUCAAAAGCAUACCUGUUGGGGCCAUUACUUUACUCUGGUAAUUUGUAAGGCAUCUUGUGCUACCCUGGUAAAUGACUUGGGAAAGCCAUUGGUGCCCAAAGAAUGACUGAAAUCAGGAGCCAAGACAAACUUGGAAAUAUGGGCAUGGUGCUGGGUAACAAAUGAAAAUAAAGGAAACAAACCGACCACAAAAUCAACCUCAAAUGCCCUGCAUUGUGCCUUAGAGGCAAUGAAAUAGUAGUGCUGGCUUCCUAAAACAGGAACCCUUCACCAAGCAAGAACUGCGCAUUUCAGAGGCUGCAAGGUGCUCUUCUAAAUCACAAAAGAAGCAAGUGGAAGUGAGGUCAUUGUUAGAGGUCUGAGUUUGGGGUUAGAACAAGCCCGUGUCUAUGAUACUAGGCUUAGGCCUUAAGGAUGUUUCAAGACCUAGAGAGCUGUGCUUGGCUAGACCUUGUUGCCUCUCAUCACCGAAGCUAUUCCCAAGUACCACAGGCCCCUCUGGGAAAUUAAUGAUGGUUGGAGAGGAAGCCAGCUCCACAGUCAAGCUGGGGGCAUUUGAAGAGCCCAAGGUGAGGAAAUAAGGGAGCGUAUGAAUUAAAGAAGCAGAGUUUUUGCUUGGGUUCUGAUCUCUGAGGCAGUAUGUGGCUCAGAUAAAAACUCUGUGGAGCUAUUUCCUAUGCUGGAUGGAGUUCUCUCUCACAAUAGGAAAGCUUUAAGUACUGAAUGUAAAGUUCUCUAUCAGCUAUCUGGUGAAUCUCUCCUAUGCACAGUGUUGUAAUAUAUCCAGGUGAGAGGUGGAGCCCAAGGAGUGUCAUACAGGCUGGUUAUUCGUUUCCAGAAAAAACAGGUAAGAAUAUUUUUGUUUAAGAUGAAAAUCAAUGAAAGGCCUUUCUUAAGGGUUAUGGACUGAAUAUUUGUAUCUCCCCCUCCCCAAGCUUAUAUGUUGAAGCCCUAAUCCCCAGUGUGAGGGUAUUUGGAGAUGAAAUUUAUUGGGAGGUAAUUAGGGUUAGAUUAGGGCAUGAAAUUAGGGUCCUCAUGAUGGGAUGAAUGGCUUUAUAAGAAGAGGAAGAGAGAGAGGAAAAGGCCAUAUGGGACUUAAUGAGAAGGCAGCUGUCUGAAGCCAGGAGGAGAGACUUCACCAGAACCUGACCAUGCUGGCACCCUCAUCUUGUGUCCAGCCUCCAGAACUAUGAAAAAAUCAGCUUCUGUUGUUUAAGUCCCCAGUCUGUGGUAUUUUGUCAUGGCAUGCAAGCUGACUAGACAUUAAGUAUCCACCUUUGCUCAUGCUGGCCUGGGCUGUACUGAGAACAUCUAUCUUUUCAUUGACUUUAUCUGUCCCCAAAUGGAAUAUUCCUUCCCUAUGAUUGUGGCUUCUCCAGUGGGGAUCAGAUGGCCAGUCUAGUAGCAGGUAGGGUGGCAUCACAGGAAACUGACAUUUUGUAGGUCAAAAGUUAUAAAAAAAAAAAAAAGCCAUUGAAAAUUGCUGCCAUUUGGCCUAUAAAGUGGCUUUUCCAUGCAGUUGUAACAUACCUGGUAUUGUGUAUCUAGGUGUUGUGGGUGCCAAAAAUGUAAGAAGCACUUUUGUCUGCAGAAGAUUUAUAUUAUACCAGGAUUCAGCAAACUAUGACCCAUGGGCCAAGUCUGACCCAUCACUGGUAUUCGUAGUCUUCCUGGAACACAGCCACACCCACUUGUUUACUUAUUGUCUAUGGCUGUCUUCAUGCUACACCACCAGAGCUGAGUAGCUGAGCAAAGACUGCACCACCCACAAAACUUAAACUAUUUACCAUGUGACUGGUUAGAGAAAAAGUUUUCUGAGCCCUGCAUUACACAGUGUAAGUGUAAUGCAAGUGUAAUGCAAGUAAGACUCAAUGAUCACGCAUAAACACUGCCAUUUUUCUUAUUGCAAUUUCACACAUCUCCUACCUUACCUUUCUUACCUUUCAUCACUAUUUUUUUCACUCCUCUACUUGUUUGAAUUUCCAAAGUCUCUCCUUUCCCCACUCUUCAUGAUUCCUGCUUGUUUCUGGCCCCCAUUCCUUUCUACUCUCUUCUGUUUGCUUUUCCUUCUUCUCUUGAUUGGCUUCUGCUCUCCCAUCCUUGCCCAUCUCUUCCCACCUCUUCAUUCUCUUCUUCUUCCACUUUGUUCCUUCCUCUUUUCCUCUGUGCCUCCUCCAUGGAACUGGUUGGAUUCUUUGACUUAGGAUGGAUGGAUUGACUCACCUUCUCACCAUUCACGGCGGCCUUUCUGGCCCACACACAAUCUUGUGUAGAUUUUCCUCUUUAGAUCUUAUGUUUCUCUGAGGCAGGACUGAUAUUUAACUGGUAAGGAAGGUAGCCUUGUAAGAAUCGAUGUUUAUUUAGACUGUCUGCUCUGAUUGGUCAGUGUUGAAUUUUUUGCAAAUCAUUCUUGCCAUCAGAUCAUCUGUCUCAACCAGCCAGACAGCUCAAAAUUUAGAAAUGUUGCCCAGAUAUCUUUCUCUUAGAGACUCUAUGAAUUCCUGUUUGUGGGCUCAGCCUCUGGGGUUUUAAUGAGGCUCUUGUUGUUUUUAUAUCAUUGUGAGGCAGUGUCUAGAAUUCAGAAAUUAAGUCCAUUCAAAAUUAGGAUGGGUGUGUGUGCUGGGUGGUGCCUUUCUUCCCACAAAGCAAUGUGUUUUGAAUCUAAGAUAUUCUGUGGUCAAAUGCUUCUCAGAAGCAUGUACCAGUGGCUGCUAAAGACUUUCUUAUGCAAUACUGCUGAAAAAUACACCAAAAAACUGGGUAGUGUGGAGUCAUUUCUAAGCAAUUAUCAGUGAUACACCAAGCCUUGUCACACCACUCAUCAUUGAUGCCAGACUGACAAAAGACCUUAAAUUUCAGGGUUAUUAACCAUCACCCCAACCCAUGAUUGAAUUGAGAGGAAAUAGCCCCAGCACACAGCAGCCACAGACUUUGCUUGGCUUUGAAGAAUGUUGCCUAGAAUAUAUUUUAGUGACAAAGACUUGGCUGCAUUUACCAAUUUUUUCUUUUCUUUUUUUCUUUUUUUUAAGAGACAAGGUCUUCCCAUGUUGCCCAGGCUGGACUCAAACUCUUAGGCUCCAGGGAUCCUCCCACCUUGGCCUCCCAAGUAGCUGGCUGGGACUACAGGCACAUGUCACCAUGACUGACUUUGUCUAAAAUUUGAAUUUAUUCACCCUAAUUACUUUUCUUUCUCUUUAAAAUGUUCUUGUUAAAGCUGUGCUCCCUUUUUUCCAUGGUGAGUAUGGCAAUUCUGAUUUCUGUAUAUUUUUAAAACUUGUGGACAAACCACUUCAUCAUUGUAUCUAACAAUAAAAGUCAUAGGCCGGGUGCGGUGUCUCACGCCUGUAAUCCCAGCACUUUGGGAGGCCGAGGCAGGCGGAUCACGAGAUCAGGAGAUCGAGACCAUCCUGGCUAACAUGGUGAAACCCCAUCUCUACUAAAAAUACAAAAAAUUGGCCGGGUGUGGUGGCGGGCACCAGUAGUCCCA
rnacentral:lncRNA from 1 species